rnacentral:lncRNA from 1 species
GUAUUCCCAUCUGUCACAUGGGCCUCUACAAGAGGUAUGGUGUGGAGAGAGAUAUCUCUAAGAGUGGAAGUAGUAGGCUUUAUUUAUAGGUGUUAGGAGGGGAGAAGUUUUUCUAUUUUUCCAAUAUGGGACUAAUGAUGCAGACAAGGGCUAGGAGAUGGAUGGAUGAGAUGAAGAAGCAGAAAAAAAUGGAUGGAUG